rnacentral:tRNA from 1 species
GCCGUGUGGCUCAAUUGGUAGAGCAUGGUGUUUGCAAUGCCAGGGUUGUGGGUUCGAUUCCCAUGGCG